AUGGCCGGUACCACCGGGAUCCAGGGAUCUGGGACCACUGGGAUUUGGCUUCCCAGUAUCCAGCAUCACUGGGAUCCGCUGGGAUUUGGCUCUCAGGGAUCCAGCACCACCGGGAUCUGGGGAUCUGGCAGGGAUGGGGUUUGGUGCUCGGAUGUUGGGCACCACCGGGAUCCGGGGAUCCAGCACCACCAGGGUUUGGCUCUCCGGGAUCUGGCGCUGCCAGGAUGUGACUCUUGGGCAUCUGGGAUCCGGGGAUCCGGCACCGCCGGGGGUUUGGCUCCCCGGGAUCCGGCACCACUGGGUUCCAGGGAUCCGGCACCGCCGGGGUUUGGCUCCCCGGGAUCUGGGAGCACCGGGAUUUGGGGAUCCAGGCUCUGGCUCCAGGCGGUUCCGGCUCCGCGGCAGCGGGUGCAGGUGUGUGGUGGGGCCGUGUCCCUCUGUCCCCUCCCCGUGUCCCUCUGUCCCCUCCCCGUGUCCCUGUCCCUCUGCACAUCCAGGGGUCCGUGUCCCCGUGUCCGUCUGUGCGUCCCCGUGUCUGUCCCUCCAUGUCACCCCAUGUCACUCCGUGUCCCUCUGUGUCCUUGUCCCUGUCGCCGUGUCCAUCCGUGUCCUUUUAUGUCCCUCUGUGUGUCCCUCCGUGUCCACACGUGUCCCUUCCCGUGUCCCUUUAUGUCUCCCUGUCCCCUUGUGUCCCUCUGUCCCCCGUGUCCAUGUGUGUCCCUCCCCGUUCCCAUGUCCCCCUGUCCCUCCGUGUCCCUCUGUCCCCACAUGUCCCUGUUCCUGUGUCCCUCUGUCCCCCGUGUCUACGCGUGUCCCUCUGUCUCUCCAUGUCCCUUUGUCCCCCCACGUCCACACGUGUCCCUCCGUGUCCCUCCAUCCCCCACAUCCAUGUGUGUCCCCAUGUCCCUCUGUCCCUCCGUGUCUCUCUGUGUCCACGUGUGUCCCUCUGUCCCCCACGUCCACACGUGUCCCUCUGUCCUUCCGUGUCCCUCUGUCCCCCCAUGUCCAUGUGUGUCCCUCCCUGUUCCCAUGUCCCUCUGUCCCCCACGUCCAUGCAUGUCCCUCUGUCCCUCUGUGUCCCUCUGUCCCUCCAUGUCCACGCGUGUCCCUCUGUCCCUCCGUGUCCAUGUGUGUCCCUCCGUGUCCCUCUGUCCCUCUGUGUCCUUGUCCCUGUCGCCGUGUCCAUCCGUGUCCUUUUAUGUCCCUCUGUGUGUCCUUCCGUGUCCACACGUGUCCCGCCGUGUCCCUCUGUCCCCUCCCCGUGUCCCUCUGUCCCCUCCCCGUGUCCCUGUCCCUCUGCACAUCCAGGGGUCCGUGUCCCCGUGUCCGUCUGUGCGUCCCCGUGUCUGUCCCUCCAUGUCACCCCAUGUCACUCCGUGUCCCUCUGUGUCCUUGUCCCUGUCGCCGUGUCCAUCCGUGUCCUUUUAUGUCUCUGUCCCUCCGUGUCCCUCUGUCCCCCCACAUCCAUGCAUGUCCCUCUGUUGUCCCCCUGUGUCUACGCGCGUCCCCCUGUGUCUACGCGCGUCCCCCUGUGUCUGUCUGUCCCCCAGUGUCCACACGUGUCCCUCUGUCCCUUUGUGUAUCCCUCUGUCCCCCAUGUCCACGUGUGUCCCUCCAUCCCUCCGUGUCUCUCUGUCCCCCCAUGUCCACACGUGUCCCUCCGUGUCCACAUGUGUCCCUCUGUCCCUCCGUGUCCCUGUCCCUCCAUGUCCAUGCGUGUCCCUCUGGCUGUGUCCCUCUGUCCCUCCGUGUCUACGUGUGUCCCUCUGUCUUUCCAUGUCCCCCGUGUCCCUCUGUGUCCACGUGUGUCCCUCUGUCCCUCCGUGUCCCUCUGUCCUCCAUGUCCACACCCAUCCCUCCCAUUCCCAUGUCCCUCUGUCCCUCCGUGUCCCUCUGUCCUCCAUGUCCACACCCAUCCCUCCCAUUCCCAUGUCCCUCUGUCCCUCCGUGUCCCUCUGUCCUCCAUGUCCACACCCAUCCCUCCCAUUCCCAUGUCCCUCUGUCCCUCCGUGUCCACAUGUGUCCCUCUCCCCCACAUCCACACGUGUCCCUCUGUCUUUCCGUGUCCCUCUGUCCCUCCGUGUCCCUCUGUCCUCCAUGUCCACACCCAUCCCUCCCAUUCCCAUGUCCCUCUGUCCCUCCGUGUCCCUCUGUCCCCCUGUAUCCAUGUGUGUCCCUGUCUUUCCGUGUCCCUCUGUCCCCCCACGUCCACGCAUGUCCACACGUGUCCCUCCAUGUCCACACGUGUCCCUCUGUCCCUCCGUGUCCCUCUGUCCCCCACGUCCACGCGUGUCCCUCUGUCCCUCCGUGUCCCUCUGUCCUCCAUGUCCACACCCAUCCCUCCCAUUCCCAUGUCCCUCUGUCCCUCCGUGUCCACAUGUGUCCCUCUCCCCCACAUCCACACGUGUCCCUCUGUCUUUCCGUGUCCCUCUGUCCCCCCAUGUCCACGCAUGUCCCUCCCCAUUCCCAUGUCCCUCUGUCCCCCAUGUCCACGCGUGUCCCUCUGUCCCUCCGUGUCCCUCUGUCUUUCCGUGUCCCUCUGUCCCCCCAUGUCCACGCAUGUCCCUCCCCAUUCCCAUGUCCCUCUGUCCCCCAUGUCCACGCGUGUCCCUCUGUCCCUCCGUGUCCCUCUGUCUUUCCGUGUCCCUCUGUCCCCAACAUCCACACCCCGUGUCCCUCCCCCUUCCCCGUGUCCCUCCCCGUUCCCGCGUCCCGCCCUCCCCACCUCACACACGCCUGCCACACGCCUCCUACAUGCCCCCACACGCCUCCCACACGCCUCCCACACGCCAUGGCCCCCUCGGGGCCACCGGAACGGGGUUCUCUGGCCCGUUUGGCUCGAGACACCUCCUGCCCGGCCUGUGGGCUGGCGCUGAGGGACCCCGUCCUCCUGCCCUGCAACCACAGCUGCUGCCGACGCUGCCUG
rnacentral:lncRNA from 1 species